AGUGGCGGACGGGUGAGUAACGCGUGAGAAUCUGGCUUCAGGUCGGGGAUAGCCACUGGAAACGGUGGAUAAUACCGGAUGUGCCGAGAGGUGAAAGAUUGAUUGCCUGAAGAUGAGCUCGCGUCUGAUUAGCUAGUUGGUGGGGUAAGAGCUUACCAAGGCGACGAUCAGUAGCUGGUCUGAGAGGAUGAUCAGCCACACUGGGACUGAGACACGGCCCAGACUCCUACGGGAGGCAGCAGUGGGGAAUUUUCCGCAAUGGGCGAAAGCCUGACGGAGCAAUACCGCGUGAGGGAGGAAGGCUCUUGGGUUGUAAACCUCUUUUCUCAAGGAAUAAAAAAAUGAAGGUACUUGAGGAAUAAGCAUCGGCUAACUCCGUGCCAGCAGCCGCGGUAAUACGGAGGAUGCAAGCGUUAUCCGGAAUGAUUGGGCGUAAAGCGUCCGCAGGUGGCAGUGUAAGUCUGCUGUUAAAGAGUCACGCUUAACGUGAUAAAGGCAGUGGAAACUACACAGCUAGAGUGUGGUCGGGGCAGAGGGAAUUCCUGGUGUAGCGGUGAAAUGCGUAGAGAUCAGGAAGAACACCGGUGGCGAAGGCGCUCUGCUAGGCCAUAACUGACACUGAGGGACGAAAGCUAGGGGAGCGAAUGGGAUUAGAUACCCCAGUAGUCCUAGCCGUAAACGAUGGAUACUAGGCGUUG
rnacentral:rRNA from 1 species